GAUGAAGAACGUAGCGAAAUGCGAUACUUGGUGUGAAUUGCAGAAUCCCGUGAACCAUCGAGUCUUUGAACGCAAGUUGCGCCUCAAGCCAUUAGGUUGAGGGCACGUCUGCCUGGGCGUCACAUAUCGUUGCCUGAUGCCAGUUUCCUCGUGAUGGGUGACUGUGCAGGGCGAAUGAUGGCUUCCCGUGAGCAUUGUUGCCUCAUGGUUGGUUGAAAAUUGAGUCCUUGGUAGGGAGCGCCGUGAUAGAUGGUGGUUGAGUGACGAACUAGACCCAAUCAUGUGAGACCCCUACCGAAUUUGGCCUUCAUGACCCACAUGCGUCUUUGGAACGCUCAUGACGAGACCUCAGGUCAGGCGGGGCUACCCGCUGAGUUUAAGCAUAUCAAUAAGCGGAGGA
rnacentral:misc_RNA from 1 species